AUUGAACGCUGGCGGCAGGCCUAACACAUGCAAGUCGAACGGUAACAGGAAGAAGCUUGCUUCUUUGCUGACGAGUGGCGGACGGGUGAGUAAUGUCUGUGAAACUGCCUGAUGGAGGGGGAUAACUACUGGAAACGGUAGCUAAUACCGCAUAAUGUCGCAAGACCAAAGAGGGGGACCUUCGGGCCUCUUGCCAUCGGAUGUGCCCAGAUGGGAUUAGCUAGUAGGUGGGGUAACGGCUCACCUAGGCGACGAUCCCUAGCUGGUCUGAGAGGAUGACCAGCCACACUGGAACUGAGACACGGUCCAGACUCCUACGGGAGGCAGCAGUGGGGAAUAUUGCACAAUGGGCGCAAGCCUGAUGCAGCUAUGCCGCGUGUAUGAAGAAGGCCUUCGGGUUGUAAAGUACUUUCAGCGGGGAGGAAGGGAGUAAAGUUAAUACCUUUGCUCAUUGACGUUACCCGCAGAAGAAGCACCGGCUAACUCCGUG
rnacentral:rRNA from 1 species